AACCCCCGCUAUCUAUAAAAAAAAUACCACAGUAUUUCCCUUUUAUUUCCCCCAAAAACAUUUGUCUCUCUCUCACUUUCCCCAAAAAAUUGUCUCUCUCUUACUUUCCCCAAAUCAUGAAGUUCAAUGUGAAGACGAACAACUACUUCAUCAGUGGAUAUUUGUGAAGAUGAACAAGAAUUCCAACAGUGGACGUAAUCUUUUCAGAAGCCAGAAUCAGAUGACAACACCCCUUCAUCAGGUUCAAUGUUCUCUUGAAAAGGUUUACGGUAUUUUUUAAGCUGUUACCUCUUCUGGCCGUGGUUACGAUUCCUUUAUUGAAGGUCGAAAAGAUCAGCCAAGCGAUUAGUACACGCAACCUUACCAUAGAAAACUCAACUACAUUAUCAAGACCUGUUGCCACCUUGUCUUUCAGUGCAACAGCUGCAUUUGAAGUUCGAAGUUCAUCAAGAAUAUAGGUUGGAUUCAAAGAAGGGACAAUGACGCUUAAGCCACCGGCAGAGAAUAUGGAAAUAUUAGGCCAAAACAUAAGUUUGAAUCCUGAGACUUGCUAGUAAGAUAUGUGAGAGAUAGUUCAGAAUGUACUACUUUCGUUUUAACUUUAUGAUGUUUUGGAAAUGUAUGUGACCUCUCCUUUUAUGUAGGAUAUGUGAGAAAUAUUUUCCUUUUCAUACUCUAGGAAAUAAAUCAAACAUAGAAAAUAUGUGAUUGCAUAAAAUUGUUAAGACCCACUCAGAAAAAUUUCCAAUGUGGAGCAAAUUUAGGACAAGACUCGAACUUGUUCCCCACAUUACCCAGUUGAGAUGAAAAGACGAGUAACUCCAUCAGUCAAUGAGGUUUUGCCUUCGAGUUUGUCUAGUUAAAAUUUUUGACUUAAUUCUCUCUUAUUGUCUCUUAUAAUGUGUCUGAAAUAUGGGGACUCUAUUUUCUUCUCUUUUAGCACAUACUGCUUUCAAUUUUCUGCAAUAUUCAUAUGGCAUGUGAUUAGGUUUCUUUCAAUUGUGAUGAAGAGAAAGAAAAAGGUCCAUGCCAUUGUUUCCUUUUUUUGGACUCUUCUAUGUGAUAUUCAUUCCCGGUCAGCUUUUAUGAAGAGGUCAAGAGGAAAUUCUUGCUUUCUUUCCUCCAAACAGAAUUCUGAACCAUAAAUUAAUUGGAAAGUAAAAUUUUGUUUAUUGAAAUAUUGUUAAAUAAUAAAAAAACUGGAGGACAUCCUGGCCAUUGACAAACCCAUAGUUUUCUUACAAUGUUACAAGUCUGCCUUAGGCUAUUUCUAGGUUUCCUCUGAUUCCUAUCUAUUUGAAUGUUGAACUGAUAUCAUUAACUUGAUAUCCAUUUUCCAUUUUGAGAACAUGGUAGUUUAUAAUUUAUUGUUGCUAAUAGUAAUUUGAGCAAAGUUCCUGCUGUCUUUAUUUUUCUUUGGCUUGUGACGUAGACAAGAAAUGUCUUCUUUAAGAUAGAACUUUGGAUGUUGCUGGAUUGAUCUUCAACUUCUGAAACUUGUUCAAAGAGUCAUGUUUAUUUUCAAAUGAUUCAUGAUGAACAGAUGUUGGAAAUUACUUAGAUCUUGGACAAAAUUGUGGACAUAGAUUCUGGUUCAUUUCAUUAUUAAGUUCUUGUACUCCCGUUAGUUUUCUUUGGGGAUUUGGAUUGUUUUACUUGAGCCAAGCUCUAUCUUGAGGUGAAUCACAAUUUGAAGGUUAGCUUCUUCAUUCUUAUUAUUGUGUAAUUGGGAUGUGCUUAUUAUGUUAUGUUUUAGCUAUGCUUGGGGCCAAUGACCAUGUAAACCAACAUUUUCCAUUCUUGAACUUAGUAAAUAAUGCUUGUAUAACAUAACAUUAUCCUAGUUGUACUGCCUUAUUCGACAUUAUUAUUUACUCUAUGAUUCAAUCACUACGUUUCGAAUUGUGUGCUAUUAGUGUGGGAAUUUCUUAGUUACCAAAUAAAUAGAUGUACUGAUUAUGGUUGAACUUAGUAAAUAAUAUUUGUAUAACAUAACAUUACCAAAUAAAUAGAUGUCGUUGAACUUAUUUUCUAUGUCUGUAAAGUUAGUCGAGUUGUGGAAAAAUUGAUCCAGACAUCAUAAUUAUAUGUUAGAGUAAUUUUUCAUAAGAUAUUUUGUUAUGUACGUACUUUGAUAGAGUUCAUUAAUUUAUUUAUUUUCUAUUACGUUCACUUUUCUUAUUUAUGAAAUCUUAUAGGUGAUAUUUAGCAUAUUCAUCAAAUUCUUCAAUGGAUAGAUCUUGGAUUGGAAUGCCAAGAAACACACCAGAGUAUUUUCUUGGUUUGAAUCAGUUUCUAGAUUUUGCAUUUACCAAUGAAGUUAUAGGAGAUAAAAUAAAGUGCCCAUGUCCUAUAUGUGGUUUCAAAAAGUGGCAAACAAAAGAAGUGGUGUUUCACCAUUUGAUGAAUAAGGAUUUCCCUAAACAUUAUGUCACUUGGGUUGUGCAUGGGGAAACAGAUGUUUUGCCUAAUUCCAGAAACAUAGAGGUCACUCAAGAUGCACAACCUUUUGAAAAUCCUAUUGAAUUAUUGAUUAAUGAAGCAUUCGGGGGUUUAAGGCAUGAGACUGUUAAUGCAGGUUCGUCAUAAGUAGCGGGAGAAGAAGAAAUUUUACAUGAUUUGUCUGGUUCAAAUAACAAAGAUUAUUUUGAAUUGCUUAAAGAUGGAAGCGAAGAUUUGUAUGAAGGAUCCAAGUAUUCAAAGUUGGAACUUUUGUUAAAGUUUUAUCACAUAAAGUGUUUGUCUGGAUUAAGUGAUAAGGGAAUGGCUAUGCUGCUAGAUCUACUCAGGGAUGCAUUUAAAUUUGCAAAGAUCCCUAUAUCUUUUUAUGAGGAUAAGAAAACCAUCAACAAGUUGUGCCUUGAUUAUAUCAAGAUAGAUACUUGCCGAAAUGAUUGCAUGUUGUACUGGGAAGAUGAUGUUAAUGCAGAAUCAUGCAAGUACUUUCACACUUCUAGAUGGAAGUUUGAGAAGGAUAGCAAUCUUGAUUAUGCUCCUAGUACAAGUAAGAAAUAAAAAAAGAAGCAAGAGAAGCCUGCAAAAGUUUUGCGCUACUUUCCAUUAAAACCAAGAUUACAAAGACUGUUUAUGUCCUCUAAAAUUGCAGAGCAUAUGAGAUGGAAUGCAACGGAUCAUAACAAAAAUGGGAUAUUAAGGCACCCUCGAGAUGGUGAAGCAUGGAAAAGGCUUAAUACCAAUUAUCCCGAAUUUGCUUUUGAUCCUCAAAAUGUUCGAUUAGGACUAGCUAGUGAUGGUUCAAUCCUUUUGGAGCAACGAGUACUAACUAUAGCAUUUGGCCAGUGGUUGUGUUUCCAUACAAUCUUCCUCCUUGGUUGUGUAUGAAACAAUAAAAAUUUUUCCUCUCAAUGAUCAUUCCAGGUCCACGUACAGUAAGGAAUUGUAUGAACUGGCAUUUGAUUCUCCUUCUGAUUGCGUUUGUUUUCCAGUUUGUGAACUACCUCCUUUUGAUUCAGAGCUUUCUGCUUAUGAGACUAUAUUAUAGUACUGAAGUGUGCCUUUCUGAGAGUGGUAAAAGUUUCUUUGCACAAGAUGACAGAUGAUAUUGUAUCAUUCUGUAAGUCCAAAGAGCAAAAUUGAAUAGUUCAAACCAAGAGCAAAGAAUCUGGUAAACACCCUACCCCUUACCCCCGUGAUUGUUACCGAUCAUCUUCCUCUAAAUCUUGUUAUAAAUCUCUGGAUGCCAGCAAAAUCUGAUACUGUCUUCACUUUAGAGAAGCUACCUUGCUUCUUGGUCUCAAUGUAAUGGACUAGGAAUUUGCUCUGUUCAUCACCAUUUGUCUGCAGCAACAUGAUAAAAGGGAUAGUUAAUAAGGAAAUAUAAAAUAUUGGGAGGACAAAACAACCAUGCCUAGCAUAUAACACUUUCUCAAAAGCUCAGAAACUUUCCCUUUUUCCAUCAGGAUCCAGAAUGACAAGUUAAACAGGAAAGAUAAAAAAGCUUGAUCCAGAACAUGGAUAGUUACCUCAAAUGCAAAGAAACUGCCAGGUUUCAACAUUGAAACAACUCCAUCGCAGAGAUGGAUAAGGUCAUUCAUACCACUUACCCAUCGUCUAAUGCUAGUCUAGGUUCAUGUCUACCAACUUCAGCUUGUAAUCCACCAAUAUCUUUGUUUGGAAUAUAUGGUGGAUAUUUUUUUUAGAAAUAUCAUCUAUUUAAAUAUCUCCUAAUGUUUAAAUAUACCAGGUAUUAUACGUAUGCCUCAUAAUAUUUGAUACAAUAAAAAGGUUGUAUGGAGUAAUCUUCUUUGUAGGUUUUUAGCAUAACUUUUUCACUAUGUAUUUGUUUUAUAUACUAGUUUUUUUAUAUGUUUUUCUUGGGCUGAGGGUCUAUCGGAAACAACCUCUCUACCCUCACAAGUUAGGGGUAAGGCUGCAUAUACACCUCCCUCCCUAGACCCCACUUUUGAGAUUACACUAGUAUGAUGUUGUAAAUAACUUAUUUUAGUUAAUGAAAAAGGAUCUGUAGGGUUUUGUUCUUUGUUUAGCUGUUCCAUACUGCACACUAUAGAUUAUGAGCUCCUCAAUAAAUGGAAAGGGAAAAAAUAAAGAGAAAAAGCGUAAGACAGAAGAGAGCAUAUGCUUUAUAGGUCUGAGAGCUUUGAGCAUAUGCAAGACAGAAGACAGAAGAGAGCAUAUACUUCAUAGGUCUGAGAAAAAGCGCAACACCUUUGUAUUCUUUAGUUUUCAAGGACUUUAGUAUAGGUCUGAGAGCUUUGCGUUUUAGCCCAAAUUACUUUCAUAGCUCUACCUUCAUAUAUCUUCUUCCAACACCUUCUACUAGAGCAAGAAAACCAGUAUGAGUAGUCUACUGUUGCUUAUAAUUAUUUAAUUAAUAUGCGUUAGUGAAGUCUACUGUAGUUGUGCUAUAGUGUUACUACUGUGAGGUGUAACUUCCCAGAUGUCAUCUUACUAAUCACUACAUUGUUUACUGAAGAUAUGCCAAGGUUCAACCAGUUACCGAAAAAGAAAAAACUAGGUCCGUUGGAAUCUACAUCACAAGGUACUGAAUCAACACCUAUUUUUCUGGAAAAAACAAAUUUGUCUCCACCAAUUCAGCAUGCUCCACAAACAUCUCGACCAGUUUAUUCAGCAUCCCAUCCAACUUCUAUAGAUCAGGACACUUCACAUCCGGGUUCGACAAUUUUCCCUGAAUCACAACCAUCUCUGUCAGUUCACUUGACAUCACAUCCAUCUUCUAUUGAUUGGGACUCAGUGGAGCUAUCUCCUGUUGGUCGGGACUUAUCACAGCCAGCUCCUGUUGGUCGGGACUCAUCACAGCCAUUUUCUGUGGGUCGAGACUCAUCACAUCAUAUCCAGUUGGUCGGAACUUAUCACAACUAUCUCGAUCAGUUCACUCUACAUCACAUCUUCGUCUGGAAAAUCAAGACUCAUCAUAGUCAUCUCAGUCAGUUCAUUCUAUAUCACAUUCAACUCCAACAACUCAGGACUCAUCAAAACCAGCUCCAACAGAUGAGGCUGCACCCCAAAAACGUUCUAGACGUGAAUCGAAUAUGCAUUGGGUCAUAGACACAAUAGGUAAAUACUUCAUACUAUCAAUAUAUAUUCAACAAACCUUUCUAAGCCAAUUUAAUGUCUCUCAUAGCUUCACCCAAUCUUUUUUCUUAUAACAAAUUCAAGAAAUAAUGUCAAGAAAAUCAAAGUGAAAGCUAUGGAAGUACUGAAUUUAACUGGUGAAGAAUGUAUUGUGGUUAAGUUUGAUGUUUAUGAUGAACCAUUUGGGGAAGCACGUAGCCUACUUUCGCGCUUUUGUGGAAUAUUAGCGUGUGACUGCUCUUUAUUUCCAAUCAACUUUGAGAAAUGGUCGAGUUUACCUAUAACAUACUUUAACCGCGUCUUCGAACAUAUUAUAAAGGUAUUUGCUCUAAAAUCUGAUGACUAUACCAUUGGUUAAUUUUGUUGUUGAAUUUUAUAUUUGCAUGUUGUAAAAAAGCUAACAAAAAUUUUCAUUUUGAAGCCCAAAUUCUUCUUUAACACAGCCGAAUCAAUUGUUCGAUGACAUGUUUCUUUAUCUAUUGAAAAAAAGUGGGCUGCAAAUAAGAUUAACACGUGGAAUAAAGUUGAUGAUCCACUUAAAAGUAAAGCUCAGAUUUUGGAUAAGGUGCUUGAUGGGAUGCCACCGGAUCAAUGAGUUUCUUUUAUUGAAUACAAUUUUAAAGAAUUAACAAAGAAAAUGCGUCAAAGGAACCGUGAAAAUCGACAGAAACGGACAAUUCCACACACUGGUGGCUCCAAAGCCAAUGCUACAAGAAGCGCUGAAAUGAUGCCCGAGACAGGACAAUGGCCUGGACAAGCACAAAUGUACAUUGCUACUCAUAAGAAUCAAGAUGGAGUAUAUCUUAAUGAAGCGACAAAAGAAAUAUGUGAAAAAAUUGAGUCAGGAUUGACCCAAAGUACCAUAGAUGAGUCAAGUUUCGCCAAACGAUGCUGUUGGUAAGGUUCUAGGACCAGAGCACUCUGGAAGGAUGAGAUGCUUGGGAUUAGGAGCUGUUCCUAUUAGAGUUUUUAAACAAGAUAGACCUCAUUUUAGUGGUACAAGUUCUUAAAGUAGUGGAGGUUCUUAUUCGUUUCAAUGUCGAGAAAACUUUGCUCAAAUGAUGAAUUCUCACAAUCAGAUAAUGAAUGCUUUGAGGCAUAUAUGAUAAUGAAAGAAGGAACGAUACCAGAAUAAUUUGCGGGGCUCUUUGAUUCUCCUUAAAUGGUUUCUCCCACAGCACCAAGUGAUGCGGCUAGUGGACCCAUUUCACUUAUGGAUGCAAGGAGAUCACGUAAUGAUAAUGAUCCUAAUGACAAUCUUUGAUUUCGUUGCAUUUGUCUUGGAUAUUCAUUUAUGAUGAUGUAAUUGUAUGGUUGGAGUGAAUCUUAGAAUAUUGAAGGUUUUUUGUUUAAAUUUGAUUUUGUAGUUUGAAGAUACUAGUUAAUGUUGAAAAUUUAGAGUUUGAAGAUGUUAA